AUUACCUACGGGAGGCAGCAGUGAGGAAUAUUGGUCAACGGGCGCGAGCCUGAACCAGCCAAGUCGCGUGAGGGAUGACGGUCCUACGGAUUGUAAACCUCUUUUGCCGGGGAGCAAGCGUGCGUUCGUGAACGCGCGUCGAGAGUACCCGGAGAAAAAGCAUCGGCUAACUCCGUGCCAGCAGCCGCGGUAAUACGGAGGAUGCGAGCGUUAUCCGGAUUUAUUGGGUUUAAAGGGUGCGUAGGCGGUCCGUUAAGUCAGCGGUAAAAUUGCGGGGCUCAACCCCGUCGAGCCGUUGAAACUGG
rnacentral:rRNA from 1 species